rnacentral:lncRNA from 1 species
CAACUCUACUGGGAGGUGAAUGGUGAAGCCCAAGCUCAGUGAAGCUGCAGUAUUUAGACUGAGUGUGGUCUGUGAUGUGGCUGCUGCUGCUGGAGCCAAGCUGGUUGUCCUCAAACAAGCUCCUCUUGAGUUACGGUAACUCAAGCGAUUCUGACUUUAUCCUAGAUGCCAGCCCCCAGCUAUUCCUGGAAUUAGAUUCUAGGCUAGGAGUGUGUGUUUUAAUAGAAAAACAUCUAUAUGAUCUCCAAUUCUUUCAUUCUCCUAAAGAAAUGUUAGUUUUUCUAAUUUCUGCUGAUUUUUCCCAUGGACCCACUGACUCUCCCACACAUUCUGCCUUAUGAUAGAAGCACUUUAGUGAUGAAAGAAAGUAGGGCCUAUUCAUGGGAAAAAAGGUAGUCUGAAUGCUUCAGAGGAUCAUCUUCUAAGUAGCUCGUCUUUAUUGCUUCAUAGCACACAUGUGAGUUGCGGUCCUUGCUAAUCUGGUUGAUGCAGAGUUAGGAAUGGUAUGCAGCGAUAUUGAUGGAUUAUCCCUGAAGCUAAAGACUGAGAAUACCCCAUUACUUCUGUUUGAAAAUCUCAGUUACGUUCUCACCCAGACAUCCUCAUUUUCUCAGGAAUUUCUGUACACUCAGCACAAAAUGCUUGCACAAUAGGCACGGCAACUCCUGCAACUAUUGCUUACAAUCUGCUGGCUAAUCCUUUCUGUGAUCCACGCGGUGCCUACUGGGUUUGGCUUUUGACUGGGAUUAGAAUCUGGUGCUGAUGCAUACUGCCAAGCAUGCCAAGCAGCAUACAAACCUGGAGCUCAGAGCCUAUUGUUUGUGCAUCUUUCCUCUAAUUCCGCUUUUGAACCCCUGUCUCCUUCCAGCCCUUAAGUAAGACAUCUAAUCCUGUUCCAUUUCCAUACCUUUCCAGGGAUUUGUUUCGUACUAUCAGUUAAUGUCUAUUACCUGCUUUUGGACAGGGGAUGCCAGGAUGGUGUCACCCUGGUGCCACAGCAAACUAUCAUAUCUCAAGUGGGAAGCUGCGUUUCUGCUGCUCAAGCACCUCUACUAUUCAGUGAAAUUGCCUUUUCAAUGGGAAUUUCUGCCCUCUCCAGCAGUGCUGCUGCACCCAAACCAUACACAAGCAGGAAGGCAUGGCAAGUAUCAAGGCUGAGGCAUGGAGUGCCUGCUGAGUAUGGGGCACACAGUAAGCGGCUUUAGGAUUUUCUUUCUGUCCUGUCCCUGUUGCACGUGACUCCAAUGCUACUCUGGGGUCUGUGUGAGCUGGUAGGGAGCCCUUGCUCCUCCCAGUCUGUUCAGGCUUUCAGGGGUUCAUGCUGCUUUUGUCCCAGUUUCAUGUCAGAAGGACACUUGCUGGGUCUAGGUACAGCACACCCUGCUCAGGCUCCAUCCCUGCACUGCCAUGGCCUUGCAUCCACGCCUUCAGUUAACCAAGCCUCGUCUGCAACCUGUUGCUCCUGCCCUACAAUGCUGCUUAAAUUUAGUUUAAAAUCUGGCCAUUUUACUGCUGCAUCCCACAUUCCUCACAGACAGUAGCAAGCUAAUAACAACGUGCUGAUGCCAUCGUAGCCAUCACAGGCUGGAGCUGGCAUGCAUAGUCUUGUCUCGUAAACCUCUUUGUCCCGUGAGAGAUUUGAGAAUUUAAUACACAUUCGGUCUGUACCUCCUUAUUUGAGGCUGGCCAGUCUGAAUCACUUUUGAUAAACUCUAAGCAGGAAUUUCAAACAUAGUUAUGUUCCUAUCAGUUUAAUUAAAGUAGAUGACUGGGUAGAGAAACCCUGUGAAAUGUUCCCAUUGAGGAGAAGGCUGUGCUGGGUGUGCCCCUGAGGAACCAUCAGGGAAUCUGCACAGGGCCAUGGCUGUUAUCAUGGGGCACUGAGGAACUUUACUUGAAGCUCUGUCUUGCACUGCCUUAUGAGGAUGCGACACUGCGUGGAUAUGAGAAGCCGGAAAGGACAGGCAUGGCAUGGAGUUUACUUUGCCAACAUUGAAAGUGCUGGGAGCUACUGAACUGGACAGCGGCUUCAAAUGCCAGUGACCUCCGGGAGCUGGAAGUGAACGUUGUAAUUGAUAUAAGGAUGGAAGCUGCUGCACUACAAAGUGGCAUUUUGGAUACUGUGGGAACAGGUGAUGUGAAGCAUCCUCGGCGAGAUCUGUUUCCCUCCACUCUUUUGACUCCUGUCAGAGAACUGGCAUCAAACAGAAGAUCUAUUUUUCGCCCUGCUCUGGUUGUCUGCAGCAUCUGGAUAAGCUGAAGACAGCAUUUGCUAAACUGAAAAGUAUUUAGGGAGAAGUUCUCUGUCUGUACCUCGCCUCUCAGCAGCUGGACCAUUUAUGGAUGCUCUGUAAGGGCAGUGUACGAUGACUUGCAGCAUUCCUCCAUGAGAAGCUUUUGUGGGAUUUCUGUCUUAUCAUUAGCACGUUAUAAAAAUGUCAACUAUUUCCAAACCUUUCAAGUUUCAUUGGAAGGACUACUCUGAAUUUCAGCCCUGAAGUCGGUUGAUGUGCGGUUUGAUCAUCUGUUCCUCCUCUCGUACAGAUGCUCUCAAUGUGGGCAGCAGAGCAGCGCUGUCACAGCAGAUUAAUGGCAGAAUGCAGCACUGCUUGUGGAAGCAGAGUAACUAAAGACCAACAGUGAUGUUGUACCAUCUGAAUAAACCCUGAAAUUAGAAUAAUUUUUCUCAAUGUUUCGGCCUCCUAAGUACAAAGUAAUAACCCUGUCAGGGGUAAUAUUUGCUGCUGUCUCCUGUGGAUGCAUUGGGAAUUCGCUGCAGCCUCCUG